rnacentral:piRNA from 1 species
UNUUACAAUCUUAUGUAGAUAGUGAAAGGC